rnacentral:tRNA from 1 species
UGGGGUUUAGGAUAAAGACCGAAGGCCUUCAAAGCCUUAAGUAGAAGUUAAUCCUUCUAACCCCUG